GAUGAACGCUGGCGGCGUGCUUAACACAUGCAAGUCGAACGGUGAACGAGGGAGCUUGCUCCCUCCGGAUCAGUGGCGAACGGGUGAGUAACACGUGAGCAACCUGCCCUGGACUCUGGGAUAAGCGUUGGAAACGACGUCUAAUACCGGAUACGAGGCGUGGGGGCAUCCCCAACGCCUGGAAAGAACUUCGGUCCAGGAUGAGCUCGCGGCCUAUCAGCUUGUUGGUGAGGUAACGGCUCACCAAGGCGACGACGGGUAGCCGGCCUGAGAGGGUGACCGGCCAAAAUGGGACUGAGAUACGGCCCAGACUCCUACGGGAGGCAGCAGUGGGGAAUAUUGCACAAUGGGCGCAAGCCUGAUGCAGCAACGCCGCGUGAGGGACGACGGCCUUCGGGUUGUAAACCUCUUUUAGCAGGGAAGAAGCGAAAGUGACGGUACCUGCAGAAAAAGCACCGGCUAACUACGUGCCAGCAGCCGCCGUAACAC
rnacentral:rRNA from 1 species